rnacentral:misc_RNA from 1 species
GUAAGUUUGUUCCUUUGAUUUUGUGAUGAAAUUGAUUAAUUACUAAAAUCUUGUUUUCUGAGUUGACUUUUCUAUUUUAGAUUUCCUAUGAUCUAUUUUUUAUGACUUGACAUUUCUAGAUGUAAAUUUCCUAUGAUUUAGUUGUCAUGAGUUGACUUUCCUUUUUCAAUUUUUUUUUUGUUUCUUCCCUUUUUUUUUAAAUUUAAUUCAACUUUAUCACCACUGUCCACUAUUUUUUUUUCUUUUCUUUUCACACCCAUUUAUUCUUUCUUCUUUUUCUAUGUGCCUCUUUAUUCCUAUCUAUCGUCUAGGUGCUUUUUCCCCCUUGUUUUGGAUGUUUUCGUUGCUUUUUCUUAAUUUUUGAAGAAGAAAAUGCUGCCCAUUAUUCUGGCUUGUAGAAUUGAUGUUUAAUUGUUUAUUUGAGUGUAAGCAAUGUGAAGUUAAGGAAAGAAAAGAGGUUAGAUU